rnacentral:rRNA from 1 species
GUAAGGAAUAUUGGACAAUGGACGCAAGUCUGAUCCAGCCAUGCCGCGUGAAGGAUUAAGGUCCUCUGGAUUGUAAACUUCUUUUAUAAGGGACGAAAAAAGGCUUUUCUAAGUCGUCUGACGGUACCUUAUGAAUAAGCACCGGCUAACUCCGUGCCAGCAGCCGCGGUAAUACGGAGGGUGCAAGCGUUAUCCGGAUUCACUGGGUUUAAAGGGUGCGUAGGCGGGCAGGUAAGUCAGUGGUGAAAUCCUAGAGCUUAACUCUAGAACUGCCAUUGAUACUAUCUGUCUUGAAUAGUGUGGAGGUAAGCGGAAUAUGUCAUGUAGCGGUGAAAUGCUUAGAUAUGACAUAGAACACCUAUUGCGAAGGCAGCUUACUACGCAUAUAUUGACGCUGAGGCACGAAAGCGUGGGGAUCAAACAGGAUUAGAAACCCUUGUAGUCC